rnacentral:rRNA from 1 species
UUGCACGCUGGCGGCAGGCCUAACACCUGCAAGUCGAGCGGAUGAAGGGAGCUUGCUCCUGGAUUCAGCGGCGGACGGGUGAGUAAUGCCUAGGAAUCUGCCUGGUAGUGGGGGAUAACGUCCGGAAACGGGCGCUAAUACCGCAUACGUCCUGAGGGAGAAAGUGGGGGAUCUUCGGACCUCACGCUAUCAGAUGAGCCUAGGUCGGAUUAGCUAGUUGGUGGGGUAAAGGCCUACCAAGGCGACGAUCCGUAACUGGUCUGAGAGGAUGAUCAGUCACACUGGAACUGAGACACGGUCCAGACUCCUACGGGAGGCAGCAGUGGGGAAUAUUGGACAAUGGGCGAAAGCCUGAUCCAGCCAUGCCGCGUGUGUGAAGAAGGUCUUCGGAUUGUAAAGCACUUUAAGUUGGGAGGAAGGGCAGUAAGUUAAUACCUUGCUGUUUUGACGUUACCAACAGAAUAAGCACCAGCUAACUUCGUG